CACUUUCUCCCAUCACACUCAGGUGGGACCAUCCAGUUUCAGGAAAACAAGCUUAACACGCCCACUGAUUCUACAUUAUGAUUCUUCAGGCCCAGCAUCUGCCUCACUGUGGACCCCCCAAGCCAAGCUCCCAACCUUUCAGCAGCUUCUACACACCCAGCUCCCGCCUGCCAGUGGCCUCUUCAGGCCCAUGGGGCUCAUUCCUCACAACAGCCUUUCCAGUCCCAGUUUUUCCCUUCCGGCGGCCUCUCCGGGCUGAGAACCUCCUCAAGUCGGCCUCUCCAGACUCACUUGCACCCUCCAGGCGUCCUCUCCGGGCCAAGCUCCUCUUCCUGGCUGCGUCUCCAGGCCUGACUCCUGCCUCUCAACAACCUCUUUGGACUCAGUGCCUACCCAUCUCCUGGCGUCCUUGGUCGGCCCACAGCUUCCUCAAGCCAAGCUCCCCAGGCCCAGGUCAGGCCUCACGGUGCCCCCUCCACGAUGAGCUCCUGCCCUCCAAUGGCACCUGCAGGACCCAAAUGGUCUCCGGUCGGUGGGCUCCUCCACGCCAAGCUUGGGCCUCCCGGUGACCUCUGCAGGCCCAAAUUGUCCUGAAGUCGGCAUCUCCCAGCCAUGCCUCCCAGCAAGUAAGCAAGCUCUUUUGGCUCAACUCCUGCCCAGCUCCCAACCGCCUUUGUAGGUCCCGAACUUUCUCCAGCCAAGUUCUUUGGGCCUCAUUCCUGCCGCCCGGUGGCCUGUACGGGCCCAGCAAUGGUUGGAGAACGGCCUCUGCAGGUCCCGCUCUUGCCUCCCAGGGGCCUCUCCAGGCCCAGCUCUUGCCCCCACGGCGGCCACCUGGGGCCAAGUCCCUGCCUGCCUCCCAGCAGCCCACAUGCGGCCCAGCUCCUCCCUCACGGUGGCCUGUUGAUGCCCAUGCCUCUGGUACCCUGCCCAGAGGCAUGAGCCCCUGCCACACACUGGCUCCUCCCACGCUGAGAGAGGUCAGCGUGAGCCCUUGCCUCACACCGGCCCCUCCCAUCCUGAGAGAGGUCAGCGUGAGCCCCUUGACUCACACUGGCUCCUCCCACGCUGAGAGAGGUCGGCGUGAGCCCUUGCCUCACACCGGCCCCUCCCAUGCUGAGAGAGGUCGGCGUGAGCCCUUGACUCACACCGGCCCCUCCCACGGUGAGAGAGGUCAGCGUCAGCACCUUGCCUCACACCGGCCCCUCCCACGCUGAGAGAGGUCGGCGUGAGCCCUUGCCUCACACCGGCCCCUCCCACGCUGAGAGAGGUCAGCGUCAGCCCCUUGCCUCACACCGGCCCCUCCCACGCUGAGAGAGGUUGGCGUCAGCCCCUUGCCUCACACCGGCCCCUCCCACGCUGAGAGAGGUCAACAUGAGCCCCUUGCCUCACACCGGCCCCUCCCACGCUGAGAGAGGUCGGCGUGAGCCCUUGCCUCACACCGGCCCCUCCCACGCUGAGAGAGGUCAACAUGAGCCCCUUGCCUCACACCGGCCCCUCCCACGCUGAGAGAGGUCGGCGUGAGCCCUUGCCUCACACCGGCCCCUCCCACGCUGAGAGAGGUCAACAUGAGCCCCUUGCCUCACACCGGCCCCUCCCACGCUGAGAGAGGUCAACAUGAGCCCCUUGCCUCACACCGGCCCCUCCCACGCUGAGAGAGGUCGGCGUGAGCCCUUGCCUCACACCGGCCCCUCCCACGCUGAGAGAGGUCGGCAUGAGCCCCUUGCCUCACACCGGCCCCUCCCACACUGAGAGGUCGGCAUGAGCCCCUUGCCUCACACCGGCCCCUCCCACGCUGAGAGAGGUCAGCGUGAGCCCUUGCCUCACACCGGCCCCUCCCACGCUGAGAGAGGUCGGCAUGAGCCCCUUGCCUCACACCGGCCCCUCCCACGCUGAGAGAGGUCGGCAUGAGCCCCUUGCCUCACACCGGCCCCUCCCACGCUGAGAGAGGUCGGCGUGAGCCCUUGCCUCACACCGGCCCCUCCCACGCUGAGAGAGGUCAGCGUGAGCCCCUUGCCUCACACCGGCCCCUCCCACGCUGAGAGAGGUCAGCGUGAGCCCCUGCCUCAACAGGCCACCGUGAGGGAGGAGCAGGUUUGUACGCGGGCUGCUGUGAGGCAGGCAGCGACUUGGGCCUGGGAGGUCGUGGUGGGGUGAGAGCUGGGCUUGGAGACUCCCCUGGGAGGCAACAGCGGGGCCUACAGACUCUGUUCUCCAGCCGGAGCUGGGACUGUUCAGGUACUGGGAGGUGGGAUGUGGGUCUGAAGAGCUUGGUUGCAGAAACUUCGGGGUCUACAAACGCAGGCGGGAGCUGAGCCAAAAAAGCUUGUUUGCUGGGAGGCGGGAGAUGCAGCCAGGAGAAACAGCUGUGCCUGCAGAGGCCGCCAUGCGGGAGGCGGAGGCCGGGCCUCCUCAAAUCGGCCUCUCCAGACCAACUUGCAGCCUCCCGGCAUCCUCUCCGGGCCCAGCUCUUCCUCCCGGCUGCGUCUCCAGGCCUGACUCUGGCCUCCCAACAACGUCUUUGGACUCAGCUCCUGCCCAGCUCCCAGCAGGCCCAAGUUGUCGUCAAGUCGGCCUGGAAUUGGGCCCGGAAGAGCAGCAAGUCGGCCUCCCCGGGCCCAGCUCCGUCCUCUCGGCGGCCUCUCCAGGUGCAAAACUUCCUCGAGUCAGCCUCUCCAGGCCCAGCUCCUCCUGCCUCCCAGUGGCCUCUUUCAGCCCAGACCAGCUCAUGGCUCUUGGCGGCCUUCCCAGGCCCCGCUUUUGACUUUUGGUGGCCUCUUCAGGCCCAGAACUUGACCUCCAGUGGGCCUUUGCAGGCCCGGCCUCCUGCCUCUCGAAGGCCUGCACGGGCCCGGACUCACAGCGGACUCACAGCGGACUCUCCAUGCCCAGCUAGCUCUCGCCUCAUUGCGGCCUCCCGAGUCCAAAGCUCCUGCCUCUCGGCCGCUUCGGCAGGCCCAGCUCCCGCCUGCCAGUGGCCUCUUUAGGCCCAGCUCAUUCCUCACAACGGCCUUCCCAGGCCCCGUUUUUCCCUUCUGGCAGCCUCUUGGCCUCUAAUUUGUUUAUCUUUUGUGUAUAAAUCCCAAAAUAUUGAAUUUUGGAAUAUUUCCACCAUUAUGUAAAUAUAUUGGUAGGUGAUUUA